CCUACGGGGGGCAGCAAUUAGGAAUCUUGCACAAUGGGCGAAAGCCUGACGCAGCGACGCCGCGUGACUGAUGAAGUCUUUCGGGAUGUAAAGGUCUUUUGCAGGGGACGAAGGAAGUGACGGUACCCUGCGAAUAAGCUCCGGCUAACUACGUGCCAGCAGCCGCGGUAAUACGUAGGGAGCGAGCGUUGUCCGAAUUUACUGGGCGUAAAGCGCGCGUAGGCGGGUGAUUAAGUUGGGGGUGAAAUGCCGAGGCUGAACCUCGGAACUGCCUCCAAAACUGGUCGCCUUGAG
rnacentral:rRNA from 1 species